GUCGUAACAAGGUUUCCGUAGGUGAACCUGCGGAAGGAUCAUUACCUAGAGUUUGUGGACUUCGGUCUGCUACCUCUUACCCAUGUCUUUUGAGUACCUUCGUUUCCUCGGCGGGUCCGCCCGCCGGUUGGACAACAUUCAAACCCUUUGCAGUUGCAAUCAGCGUCUGAAAAAACUUAAUAGUUACAACUUUCAACAACGGAUCUCUUGGUUCUGGCAUCGAUGAAGAACGCAGCGAAAUGCGAUAAGUAGUGUGAAUUGCAGAAUUCAGUGAAUCAUCGAAUCUUUGAACGCACAUUGCGCCCCUUGGUAUUCCAUGGGGCAUGCCUGUUCGAGCGUCAUUUGUACCUUCAAGCUCUGCUUGGUGUUGGGUGUUUUGUCUCGCCUCCGCGCGCAGACUCGCCUUAAAACAAUUGGCAGCCGGCGUAUUGAUUUCGGAGCGCAGUACAUCUCGCGCUUUGCACUCAUAACGACGACGUCCAAAAGUACAUUUUUACACACUUGACCUCGGAUCAGGUAGGGAUACCCGCUGAACUUAAGCAUA
rnacentral:rRNA from 1 species